CGGGAGCCCCGGGAAGAGUUCUCUUUUCUUCUUAACUGUCUAUCACCCUGAAAUCGGUUUGUCCGGAGCUAGGGUUUAAUGGCAGGUAGAGCAGCACACCUUUGUGCUGUCCGGUGCGCUCUCGACGACCCUUGAAAAUCCGCCGGAAGGAAUGAUUUUCACGCGAGGUCGUACUCAUAACCGCAGCAGGUCUCCAAGGUGAACAGCCUCUAGUUGAUAGAACAAUGUAGAUAAGGGAAGUCGGCAA
rnacentral:rRNA from 1 species